rnacentral:rRNA from 1 species
UACGAAGGGGGCUAGCGUUGCUCGGAAUUACUGGGCGUAAAGGGAGCGUAGGCGGACAGUUAAGUCAGUGGUGAAAGCCCAGGGCUCAACCCUGGAAUUGCCUUUGAUACUGAUUGUCUUGAGUAUGGGAGAGGUAUGCGGAACUCCGAGUGUAGAGGUGAAAUUCGUAGAUAUUCGCAAGAACACCAGUGGCGAAGGCGGCUCACUGGCCCGAUACUGACGCUGAGGCACGAAAGCGUGGGGAGCAAACAGG